GACGAACGCUGGCGGCGUGCUUAACACAUGCAAGUCGAACGGAAAGACCCUGCUUUUGUGCGGUGCUCGAGUGGCGAACGGGUGAGUAACACGUGAGUAACCUGCCCUUGACUUUGGGAUAACUUCAGGAAACUGGGGCUAAUACCGGAUAGGAGCUCCUGCUGCAUGGUGGGGGUUGGAAAGUUUCGGCGGUUGGGGAUGGACUCGCGGCUUAUCAGCUUGUUGGUGGGGUAGUGGCUUACCAAGGCUUUGACGGGUAGCCGGCCUGAGAGGGUGACCGGGCACAUUGGGACUGAGAUACGGCCCAGACUCCUACAGGAGGCAGCAGUGGGGAAGAUUGCACAAUGGGCGGAGGCCUGAUGCAGAAGCGCCGCGAGCAGGAUGAAGGCCUUCGGGUUUUAAACCGCUUUCGCCUGUGACGAAGCGUGAGUGACGGUAAUGGGUAAAGAAGCACCGGCUAACUACGUG
rnacentral:rRNA from 1 species